GUAGCGUAUAUUAAAGUUGUUGCAGUUAAAAAGCUCGUAGUUGGAUUUCUGGUUAAGUAACGCUAGCCCGCCCUUGCCAGGGGUGUGCGCUGGUUAGUUGCUUGCCAUCUUUCUAGAAAGCCAGCGUUUGUCAUUCACUUGGCGGACGUGACGCGAUCUAGAUCUUUUACUUUGAAAAAAUUAGAGUGUUUAAAGCAGGCUUACGCGAUGAAUACAUUAGCAUGGAAUAAUAAUAUAGGACUUUGGUUCUAUUUUGUUGGUUUCUAGGACUGAAGUAAUGAUUGAUAGGGAUAGUUGGGGGUGCUAGUAUUCAGUGGCCAGAGGUGAAAUUCUUGGAUUCACUGAAGACUAACUACUG
rnacentral:rRNA from 1 species